rnacentral:rRNA from 1 species
AUUGAACGCUGGCGGCAUGCCUUACACAUGCAAGUCGAACGGCAGCGGACCUUCGGGUGCCGGCGAGUGGCGAACGGGUGAGUAAUAUAUCGGAACGUACCUUUCAGUGGGGGAUAACGUAGCGAAAGUUACGCUAAUACCGCAUAUUCUGUGAGCAGGAAAGCAGGGGAUCGCAAGACCUUGCGCUGAUUGAGCGGCCGAUAUCAGAUUAGCUAGUUGGUGAGGUAAAGGCUCACCAAGGCGACGAUCUGUGGCGGGUCUGAGAGGAUGAUCCGCCACACUGGAACUGAGACACGGUCCAGACUCCUACGGGAGGCAGCAGUGGGGAAUUUUGGACAAUGGGCGCAAGCCUGAUCCAGCCAUGCCGCGUGAGUGAAGAAGGCCUCGGUUGUAA